GUUCUUGUCCUGACGAGGAAAUCUUGUACUGCAAACCUUGUUUGAAGAAGCUUCUUAUUGUGUUGUUAUCUCUGAAAAGUUGAUUUAAAGGUCGAUGUGG